GACAGUGCAGACCCUGCAAAGCAAGCUGGCAUGCCAUGGUGAGGCCUCGGCCCCUUCUGGUUUGGAGGCUUUUUCUGUGACCUGAAAGCUCCAAGGGAAGAAUUUUUUUUUCCAAACCCUGUGCCUUUUAAGUAUGCCAUUUUCCUGGUUUGAUGAACAGGGUGGAGAAGAGACUCCUGGCACUGGCAAGGUCUUGUGAUAAUAUCUGUUGAAUUAAUGUGUUGAAGAAUUGAAGGCCCCAUGAGCCAGAAGGAACCAGAAGGUACAAAGAGCUUUCUAACAGCCCUCAACACCAGGCUGGUGGGCCAGCAAAGCACUUCACACCCAGAGGAAAGCCAGAGAAACAGCUGCCGCCUCAUUCUCUGAAAGGCCAAUGCAUCCACAAUGCCCUUGAUAGAGAACCUGCUUAUCCUGGCCCAUGCUGUGCUGGCUCAGGCCAGAUUUGGGGAAUCUGGAAGAUUGCCAGAAGAGGGUACAGAAGAGGGAAGACAAGUAAGAAACGUCUGAAAAGGCAGUCUACUGGGGAUGGGCCCUGCACUUUGAACGGGAUAUCCUUUAAAUAUGGUUGUGCCCACCUCAGCUCCAUCUGGAACUUCCAGGCCUUGUUUCUGUCUCUCCAAGUACCCCGCACAACGGUCUGGGGGAAGUAAAUCGGCAUCCACUCACAGCUCUUCUGCCAUGGAAGGAUUCCCCCCCACCCCCCCCGCAAUGCAUGGCUGCCCUACUGAAAAUAUCUACAAUUCUCCCAACUGUAUGCUGCCCCUCAGCUGCCUGGUGACAAAGACACAGAAAGAGGGCAACUACCAACAUCCUGAAACAGAAUAUAGUGACUUCUCAUGUUUUAUUAGAAUACCAACAUACUAGGGCGUCUGGGUGGCUCAGUCAGUUAAGCAUCUGCCUUCGGCUCAGGUCAUG